AUAUAGUUCAGGACAUUGUUAACAUGCACAUAGUGUUUAUAUUAGCCAUGCUCUUUAGCUAAUGUGUUAUAUUUCAUAUUAAUACAUAAAAUAUCAACAUUCCUGGAUAAUAGUAACGCUAACUAGGAAUGUUGGAAAUAUUAAAAGUUAUUUAUUAAAUACAGUAGGAGUUUUUGUUAGCGUUCUGUAUACCUGGGUAUGCGUUUAACAAAUAUAAAUAGUUAUUCAAUAAUUUAUCUGCAGUUCAUAUUUACCAUUAUGCAACCUAUAAUAAAAUAAUAUACUGAUUAACACUCAUACUUCAUGUCCAUUUCUGGUUUGUAUCGUGGUCUCACAACAGUAAAUCGCCAAACUGCCAGAUUAAAAUUACUAAUCUUAACUUAUAAUUCAUCUAUAAUCGUCAAUAAUAAACCUAUAGCACCAGUCGAAAUAGUUGGGACAAAUUUACUAUAGGUUCUACGCACAAAAUGAUGAAUUAUAUGACACACAAAAUGAAGUAUACGUUAAAUUUGGUCGUGGUGGUAAUCACUAAGUGAAUACAGAAAUUAAAACUAAAUACAGACAUUUGACUCAAAGAGUGAUACUAAUUUUCUUAAAAUUUUUCAGAGCUAGUCAAACAAAAAUGUCAUCUAAACAAAUA